AUACGCGUCCUCCACUUUCUCUCUCCUCCUAUAAAGCUCUCCGAUCCCACAAUUCUCUCAGAACUCCGCAUCGGAGCCUUAAUUGAACCCGAUCUCCGCUGCCGGCGAGAACAAGGAAGGAGAGAGAUGAGCUACUACAACCAGCAGCAGCCCCCCGUUGGCGUCCCUCCCUCCCCAAGGAUAUCCACAGGAGGGGUACGCGAAGGAUGCUUAUCCGCCGCCGGGGUAUCCGCAGCAGGGGUACCCGCCGCAGGGGUACGCGCAGGGAUAUCCGCCUCAGGGGUACCCCUCGCAGGGUUACCCUCCGCCGUACGCCCAGCGCCACCUCAGCAGCAGCAGCAGAGCAGCGGGCCUUCCUUUGUCGAAGGAUGCUUGGCCGCGCUGUGUUGCUGCUGCCUUUUGGAUGCAUGCUUCUGAGACGGUAUGAGGGCUUGAUCCAAUCACACGGUUUUGGAUUGCAGCAGCGGCGGCAGCUUUCUGUGUGCAAGUCGGUGGGUCGUUGUUAGCUUUCUUUUUAGGAAACACGUUAUCUUACUCUGAAGCUUCCAUUUUUUUCCGUCGUUGUAAGAAGUCACCUGGAAUUGGAUUUGGCUAGGUAUCAUUCUCUAGUAGUUUAGAAGAUAAAAAAAUAAAAUAAAGACUUGAUUGAUGCUUCGGCAUGUCAUUAUUCGUGUUUACUUGUUCUCUUUGGUAUGUUCAUAUCUUUUUAUUUAC